UACGUAGGGUGCAAGCGUUAAUCGGAAUUACUGGGCGUAAAGGGCGCGUAGGCGGUGCAUUAAGUCAGGCGUGAAAGCCCUGGGCUCAACCCGGGAAUUGCGCUUGAUACUGGUGCGCUUGAAUCCAGGAGAGGUUGGUGGAAUUCCCAGUGUAGAGGUGAAAUUCGUAGAGAUUGGGAAGAACACCGGAGGCGAAGGCGGCUUGCUGGGCGUAGUCGUGACGCUGAGGCGCGAAAGCGUGGGGAGGCGAACAGG
rnacentral:rRNA from 1 species